rnacentral:misc_RNA from 1 species
UACGGAGGGUGCAAGCGUUAUCCGGAAUCAUUGGGUAUAAAGCGUGCGUAGGUGGGAUAAUAAGUCAGUGGUGAAAGCCUGCGGCUCAACCGUAGAAUUGCCAUUGAUACUGUUGUUCUUGAGUGUUUAUGAAGUGGUUAGAAUAUGUAGUGUAGCGGUGAAAUGCAUAGAUAUUACAUAGAAUACCGAUUGCGAAGGCAGAUCACUAAUAAAAUACUGACGCUGAUGGACGAAAGCGUAGGUAGCGAACAGG